rnacentral:rRNA from 1 species
CACGUAGGCGGAUAUUUAAGUCAGGGGUGAAAUCCCAGAGCUCAACUCUGGAACUGCCUUUGAUACUGGGUAUCUUGAGUAUGGAAGAGGUAAGCGGAAUUCCGAGUGUAGAGGUGAAAUUCGUAGAUAUUCGGAGGAACACCAGUGGCGAAGGCGGGCUUACUGGUCCAUUACUGACGCUGAGGUGCGAAAGCGUGGGGAGCAAACA